GUGCGUAUGACAUCUCAUGGUGUGGUAGAGCUGUGGAAUAAAGAAAAGACUGAGAAGUAUUUGGUGAAUGGACAAUGUGUGAAGCAUUAUUGGACGAAUUAUGAAGAUAAGUAUAAUGUGUCAAUCACCUUUGCGGAUGAGUGAGGUUGAGUUGAGUCGUGCCACGACGUAAAAGAAAGCACUGAGUGGGAGGCAACCCAAGAAUAUA
rnacentral:lncRNA from 1 species